GAUGAACGCUGGCUACAGGCUUAACACAUGCAAGUCGAGGGGAAACGACGGGGAAGCUUGCUUCCCCGGGCGUCGACCGGCGCACGGGUGAGUAACGCGUAUCCAACCUGCCUCUGACUGAGGAAUAACCCGUCGAAAGUCGGCCUAAUACCUCAUGGCAUCGUCUGCGGGCAUCCAACGACGAUUAAGGAUUUCAUCGGUCAGAGAUGGGGAUGCGUCUGAUUAGCUUGUUGGCGGGGUAACGGCCCACCAAGGCGACGAUCAGUAGGGGUUCUGAGAGGAAGGUCCCCCACAUUGGAACUGAGACACGGUCCAAACUCCUACGGGAGGCAGCAGUGAGGAAUAUUGGUCAAUGGGCGAGAGCCUGAACCAGCCAAGUAGCGUGCAGGAUGACGGCCCUAUGGGCUGUAAACUGCUUUUAUGCGGGGAUAAAGUGAGGGACGUGUCCUUCAUUGCAGGUACCGCAUGAAUAAGGACCGGCUAAUUCCGUG
rnacentral:rRNA from 1 species